rnacentral:ncRNA from 1 species
UGAACGGCGUGGAUGGGCAUCCAGUAGCCGGACGUAAAAGCGGAUCAGAGAGCCGGUGGUUGGUGUGAACCGGUGCGCAGCGUUCAGUGAAUUACAGCCCGGAGCCGGCCGGAUGAGGCUGCUUGCAGCUUGUAGUCCGGUCCCGGAAGUAGUUUUCCGUUAUCUGCAACGAAGUGGGAGCAUGCCGCUUUUCCGAACUCGGAAUAGCUGCUGCUUCAACAAGGGUGGUACCGCGAGCUGAUCCUUCUCGUCCCUUCG